rnacentral:sRNA from 1 species
CUGUCAGAUCCUCUGGAGUUACAACAGUUGUGAGCUGCAUUGUGGGUGUUGAGCAUUAAACUAGGGUCCUCUGGAAGAGCAAGUAGUGCUUUUAGACACAGAACUAUCUCUUCAGGAAUUAGCACUGUUUGAACUGAUGUUUUUCUUUCUGCAUGUUAUAUAAGCACUACUGAGAACUGGAAAGCUGCAUCAUUUACAAACCCUUUCUGGGGAAACCCUGAAAGACAUCAGUAAAGGGAAAUCUUCAUAGUAGUUAGAACUUUGGGCAAUAAACAAGGUUGUAUAUUUUUCUUGGGUGGAGAAUAGGCCAUAUGUCUGGUUGUGUGAUCCAUGAGCUUUACUCAAUGGAUUGUUUGGAUGGCCAUGGAUUUUUAAAGAACAUGAUUAAAAAAUUGGUGGGAAAAAACCUGGGAAUAAGCACUUAAAUAGGUCUUUUCAAAUGGGCAAAGGAUGUGAAGAUGCUUGUCUUUCAUGGAAAUGAUCAUCAAAAGGCGACUUCAGUAGAAGUCAAAAAACACUGGACAAGACGUCUCAUUUUGUUGAUAGGCAGCAGCUUUCACCAUAAUCCAUUGUUAUUUUUCACUAGGCCUAAUACCAGAGUGGCUAUUGGAGUAGAAAUAGAAUUUGUGCAUGGACUCAACAAAUGUAAUUAAAUUUACCUAGGUGAACUGGUUACAGAUGCUGCUAAGGGCCAGAUCUGCUAGCAACAGACACUAACACCAAGCUCCUAAUGAUAGCAUUCCCAAGGGUAUGCUACUAAGUAGCAGGUUAGUGACACUGGCUCCCUUCCUAUGUGGAAAGGACAGUGUUUUGACCUCACUGGAAUAGAUACCCUGUUUAUGGAUUUGCCUCUUUUACACCUGAUGUUUCUUAAAAACCUACUGUAUACAAACUCUCAGAAUAUUUCAUCCACAGUUAAGGCAUCCUAUAUAAACUUUCCUCUGGCUAAGAAGCUCACUUAAUAGGCAAAGUAAUGGUAUAAUGGGUCUACUGUCAUAAAAGUCACUGACAUUUGGCUGUCAAGCAUUCUGAAACCAGCUGACUUCAUAGAAAGGUAGAUGACAUUUGAAGUCACAGUUUUAAUUAGAUGGUGGUAACCAAGAAGGCUAAAUCCAGGUUCUCCAAAAUACAUUAUAUGCUUUGAAUAAUUUUUCAGUAUAUGGUAAUGUUCUCCCAUGCCCAGAAUUCAGUGGUCCAGGAAUGAAGUAGUAUAAAUGGAAAUGAUUCCAUUCACUAUCACCCCUAGUAACCAGUAGGAAAAUUUUUGCUUCCUGUUCCCAAAACCAUAAUCUCUUCUGGCAUAGAACUUUUGGUUCCAGAUGGAGAAUGUCUCUGCUAGGAGACACAACAAACAUUCCAUUGCGAUGAGAACUCAGAUUUCAAACUGGCCCCUUUGGACUUAUGACGACCAUUAGCCAACGGGCUAAGAUAGGAGUAACAGCAUUAUAAACGGAAAUUAAGGAGAUGUGCUUGUAUUAAAGGUGGCAAGGGGUGCACACAAGGUAUAUAAUCUUAGUUUUCAACUUGACUACAUCCAGAAUCAACUAAAACCCAAACAUCUCAGCACAACAGUGAGGAGCCUUUUUAAUUGGAUCAUUUGAGUUGAGAAGACCAGACUUCUGGGCCACGUAUUCUAGUGACGGCACAUAGAAUGACAUGGAAGAAAGAAGCUUUUGAUUUUGUCUGCUUGCCCUUGCUCUCACUGGUAAAUCCAUCUAUCCUGUUGCUGAGGCAUUCUUUCACAGGUAUUAAUACCUACUUUUUCAGGGUUCCAUCAUAGACUGAGGACUAGCAGGUCUCUAGGAAUCUUCCAGGACUCCAGUAUGAGGCUGAGACUCGGUUGAACAACUAACUACCAGAUUCCUGGCUUUUGAGUCAGGAAAUAAUUUUUGUUGGAGUACCCAUAUUAAAGCCUAUAUACCAUCCUACAUCCCUUGUGCAAUAUGUACUCAUUUUUUUUAGCUCAAGUCUUUUAGAGACCAUUGACUAAAACAAAAUAGUAUUGUCACAUUGUUACAAGAAAUGACGAGAAUAUCAUUUGUUAGAGGCAAAGUUGUACAUUAGAUAACCAUAGGCCUGCCUCAGUGCAGCACUUCUAUUCUUCAAAGAGUAGCACAAGAUCA